rnacentral:lncRNA from 1 species
AACAAGAGCACGCUUUGAGCCACUAACACAAAAUCCAAUUAACCGUACCACAUUUUGAUGAUGUAUUCUUCCAAUGGUUGCAACUUCAUUGAUAAAAUCUUGUCCAUUUCCUUUGGAUUUGCCUAACAUUUUGAUGGCCACAAAAGGUCCACUAAGUAACUUUGCCUUAAAGACAGAGCCAAAUCCUCCUUCACCUAACUUCUCUUUGAAACCUGCCGCCAUCUUCUUAAUUUCCUUGUAUGAGUAUCUAAUAGGUGCCAAGCUAUUUUGUUCAAGAUAAUUUUCAAUAUUUUCAUACAGUGACAUAUGUCUUUUUCUCCAUUUAUAUAUAAAAAUAACAAUUAUGAAUGGCAAUCCAAACAAAACUUUGUAAGCCCAUCCUAUAGAGAUACAUAUGAGAAUACCUGCAAUAAAUUUUUACUUGAGUGAUUACGCUAGUAAUGUAAUGCACUAAAGUAUUUUGUAAAUUUAGAGACCAAAUUUAGAAACUAAAUAAUUGGUAGUUAAAACAUUGGUUGUUAAUUAGAUACCAAUUUAGAAACUAUUUAACAAUAAUAGAAACUAAUUUAGAAACCAAUUUUGUUUUUAGUUUCUAAAAUGGUUUCUAAUUUAAUUACUAUUCCAACUAAUUAUUUUGGUCUAUAAAAAUUGGUUUCUAUUUCAUGAUUUUCUUGUAAUGUGCUGUCUACAACAAAAUAUUUUACUUGAGUGAAUAAACAUCAAUGUAAAGAGUCAUUCGAUUGCACCGUUAAUGUAAAAUGCAAUAAGCUAUAUAUUAUUUGAUUAAAGAAAAACAUCAAUUUGAUUCCAAAUUUAUAUGUACGCAUCCAUUUAGAUAGCAAUUUUUUUUUAAAAAAAGGUAAAUUUUAGUUUCUGAAAUAAAUAUCAUUGGAUUUGGUCGUGGGAUUUAAUGUGAAUCUAAGAACAAAUUGACUAAAGCUUGUCAAAAUUAAAAACUAUUUUUUUUAAUAAUUUUGUGUCAUGUGGGUUAAAACCAACAAUUAUGCAAACUUUACAGGGACUACUUUAUUGUUAUAUAUUAUUUAAAUUCUCUAUACUAUGCUUCACAUAUUACGAAAUCAUUUGUUAAAAUUAUACACCUAAAUAUAAUUAAUCUAUAUUGAAUACAUUUCACAAAGUUGUAUUUUCGUUAAUAAAUUAAUAUUAACAAUCUCACGUAUGUAGUGAUGUUUUAUUAUAUAAUUAAUUAAUUUAAAACUACAUAUAUUUACAGAAAAAAUAAAUUAUGUACAACCAAGUAUGCUAUGAAUAAGAAGUUCAUAAUGUACCAAAACCAAUUCUUACUACUAUUAUGCUAUAUCAAGUUAUUUACUAUUCCUAUAAGAAUUGUUAUUGAAACAAUGUGGUAUCAAAUAUAUAAAACAAUAGUUUGUAUCAAGAUAGUGAAUUUUUAAACUACUCAAUCUCACAUAAUUUGUUUGAUAAUACGAGGUUUUUCAACACUUAUAUAUUAUGAUUUGAUCUUAUUUUUAAUCAAUGAAGAUCUUCAACACACCUCCUUCUGAGGACACGUUCGAAUCAAAGACAUCAAGCGUGAAAAUCGAGGGGAACCCAAUAACAAGUGGCACGAUAAGUUAAAUCUUGAUUGAUAUAAAUUCUUAAUAUUAAUACCUUAUUAGGAUAAUAAGUUUAAGUCUAACUCAACCUCACAAAAUUGACUCAGUAAAAUGUGGUUUGCCUCCACUUAUAUACUAUAAUUUAAUCGUAUUCUUCAGUUGAUGUGAAAUCUCCAACAUAUACUAUAAUUUAAUCGUAUUCUUCAGUUGAUGUGAAAUCUCCAACGGUUUAGUUAUAAUUUAUGGUCAAAUGUCCAAAACAAUUAUCAUCAUUGAAAAUAAUAAAUGAUGAUGGCUAAUAUAUGCACAUUGUGUCGACGCAAAUCGUGUCAUUUUGCAGUGUGUUUCUAAUGUUUUAUUCUUCUCCAUUGUGUUGAUCCCAUCAUAGCCACUCCUUCGCAUUUGUGCUAGUAAGAAAAUUUUAUUUUUACGUCAAUUACAUUAACCUUAUAUAAAUACCUCUUGCACUCUUCCCCACCUUUAGAAUAUUUUCUACAUAUUAUACUCUUCCAACCUUCAGAAGUCUUUCUAUGCUUUCUACAUCCUUUUGUUUUAAUUGUUGAUAGUUUUCAUACUUAACUCGUUGAAAGCUCCUCAUUCUCAUCAGAAUUUAAUUCAUUUUUAUUUAAGAGGGUUCCUUGCAUGAUGAUAGGAUGAUGUUCAAAUCAUUAAAGUUGAGGGUAUCCUUUCUCAAGUUUUUGCACUCAGUGAUGCAAAUUAAGUGUCUUAGAUACUUUGAUGUUUUAUUUUAUCUAAGUGUGUUUAGUGAUUUAUAUACUCUUUAACAAUAUUUUUGGACUUUAAUUUUGUAAUUACAUAAAUUAUAUAUUGAUUCAAAGGAUGUCAACUAUAUCUUAUAAGUAAGAUAAUUUGUAAAUAAUUUUGUUUAUGAAUUAUUUGUUUGCCAUUAAAUUGAAUGCAGGUUAAAUGUAUUAUCAAAACUAGGGGUGCCAACAAGGUGGAGUGGGUGCAAGUUUUACUACACUCAUCUAUAUUUCCAAAGUAAAAAUGUAUUCCCCUCCUCCUGUUAUUCUCAUAUGUCUUCAUAUGGUAUAAAAUUUGAGUUUCAUUCUCAUCGAGUAGUAGAUGUAGAUGCACCUGUAUUCAUGCCCAUACUUGUUCUCGCACUAUUGUUAAGUGUUAUAAUUCAGUAAUGUUUCAUACAAAAAGAUAGACACUUAUGGACUUUAUUUCUUAAUAGCAUUAUAAUUCAACCUAUAAUUUUAACAUUUUUACCUAGUUUUGGAUUAUGAGAUUUAUAAGAAUGAUUUAUUCCCAAGUUUGUACCAAUUUCAGGAAUAUAGGGAAGAUGAAGAUAAAAGCGCUAAAGGAGAAUGAACAAAUUACAUACAAGAUGAAAAGACAAAGUUAGAGCAUUGAAAACACACCCAAGAACUCACCCAAACUCGCCCCAGCAAGAUCACUCCAGAGGCAAACUUGUUCAUUGGAGCAAACUUGCCCAAGGCUCGCUUUAGCAAGUUCACUCUAGUGAAGUUGGGCUUUUUCUCAUGAAACCUGCUUAAGCAAGCAAUGUCUUGCUUGAGCAAGAUGUCACUUAACCUACAUCAAAUUAGGUUAAAUAGAAGGCGUAAGGAAGAACCCUAGGAUCAUAGGGAGGAUAAUCAGAGAGAGAAAAUCCUAGCCGUCAAGGAGAAACAUUAUGGAUCUUCUUUUCCUACUUUCCAUGCUUAUAAUGGUUAGUGGCUAAGUCUUCCCUUUGGAAUUGGGAGGAAUCUGUUCAAACUUUUAUGUAUUGAGGUGAUAUUUAUUUAUAAUAUUUUUUUCUUUAUUGAUGAUUGGUAUUGUCAUUUUAUUCUUAAAGUUUGAAUCUUUAUUAAUGAUUUUGAUCCUUAGAUUUGACUGAAAAGUACUUCUAAGCAUCUGACUUAAAUGAUAAUACUUAACAUAUUUGAAUGGUAGGAAUAUAUUUGAAAUUUUAAUUGCUUUUGUUUUUAUAAAUAUACGAGAAAUCGAUAUUUAUGACACAAUCUUAAUAAUUUUGUAUGCAAGGAAUUGAUAUGAAUGAUUUUUAUAUGUGUAUCAAUGUCAAUAAAAAUAUGGAAUGUUAUAUGUUUUUAUUCAUUAAAAAUAUAGACGAGUGAAAAGCAUUAACCUCAAUCCCAAUUGAAUCAUACAAAUCAUUUACUUUAUUUUUAUUCAAUUUCUUACAAAUUCAUGAUACAAACAACCUUUCAAACAAACUUUGACACAUCUUUUCAUAUUGAGUGCAUAUUAUACUUGAGAUUUUAGAAUUGUUUCCUAUAGGUUCAAUAGUCAUUAUUAAGAACAAACUAUUCCUUUUGACUCGAUACACUUGUCGAAUUAAAUAGUCAUCAAUUAUCCCAAAUAUUGAAUAAAUAAUUUUUUUAAAAAGUAAAAAUCACAAUAUAAAAAAUGUUAUCAAAUAACAAUUACUCAUAAUAGAAAUUUCUUAACGACUAUAAUCUAUUGUUUUGCAAAAAUUGAGAGGGAAAAUACCUCGAAGAUUUGAGUCUACUUGUGGGAUAUUUGACAUGGUGAACCGUUGAAAGAGAAAAUGAAAUCUUGUGUAGAAGAAAAAGUUCUUCAAAUAAACGAAAUUAAGAAACAAGAAAAAAAAAAGACAAUUUUUUUUAGGUUACUUAAUAGGGUUUACAGAAUUUAAUUCGAAAAAAUUGAGGUUUACAUUUCUUAAAAUGUAAUUCAUCAUUUGAAGAAAAUCAAAUGAAGAAAAUUGUGUAAUUGAGAUUAUUGUAUAGUAAAAGAAUAAUUUUUUUAAAUGGAAUGAAUCAAAUGACCGACGAGAACAAUAAAAAUAAGUUUGAAUAGGUUGUUUAAUAAAUUAAAUAUAUUUCAGUAAUUUAAAAUAAAAACGGAUACAAGAAUAAAUAGGAAAUCGUAUACAAUACUCAUCUACAUCUCUAUAUCCAAUUUAAAAUAUUAAAUGUUACUCAUAAUUGUGCCAAUCAAUUCGAAAUUAAAAUUUAUCUUUGUCAUCCCUAAACAAAACAAAUAUUAAAAAAAAAAUUUAUACAUUCAACAAUAUAUUUUAGUAUAAUUGUUCUCAUAUAUUAGUUUCACCAACAGUUCAUAUUAUAACCAAUCAUUGAAAGGGUUGAAAAUUUUAAAACUCAAAUAGAAUUAAAAAAUUACAGUUUAAUCAUAAAUAAUAAAUAGUAAAUUCUAAAUCUUAAAUCAUAAACUAUUGUACCUUGAACCGUAGCCAAUUCUUCUAUUUUUAACAACAUUUCUGUCAAUGAAAAUUUGAGAACUACUAAUAGAAGUCUAUUUUUUGUGUAAUUAAAGAAUUUAGAAAUUAAGUUGAUAAAAUCGUACCUCGUAUAUAGAGUUUUAGCACUUCAUGCAGUGUUAGAUUAAAUGAGCCUGAAAUGAAGGAAAUUAUGAAGUUUAGAAUAGUGGUGAUCUCAACAGUUAUUCAAAAGAGACUAUUUUCAUAUUUUGAUAAAGGUUAUAGCGGUCAAUAAGUUUAACAGUUAUUUAUUUUAAAGAAAAUAAAUGUUUAAUUUAAUGUAUACGUUCUUAUAAAUACAUGUAAAAUAUAAAAGAUAAAAGAAAAUUGGUUUACUAAUUGUUUACCACCUUUUCAGUUAAUUUAAAUGUAUAUUUAGAAGAUAUAUAUGUUUGAAACUGUUAUGAAAAAAUCUAAAAAAUUGGUUAAUAUUGGUUUAGGAUUACUCACCUUUGAUGCAUUGAAGCUUCUGGUUAGAAGAGUCGACAUAGCAAUAGCUAUCAUCAUCUGGACAAUGUUUCUGACAGGCGACUUGUAUCCAUGAAAUCUCGAAUCCAUAGGCGAGUGCGGUGUGCAUGGAAGUGUAAGAAUGGUUAUCGAAAGUGGAAAGAGAAGUGGGAGCAACAAGCUUUACCUCACACCCAACUUCUAAGUCCUCUGCUUUUAGGUCUCCACCAAUUGAAUAUGCAUACCCCUUCCCCUCCCACUUCACCCACUCUCCAAUCUCCACAUACUUCUCUUUCUCUCUCACCGAAUGGUUACAAUUCACGAACACUAUAUGCUCGAACGUCAGAGAUUCCCCAUUUUCAUAGACAAAACUGGCUUGGUAUGGACCCGGGUCGUAAAAUGAAGUGUAAGUGUAAGUGUCAGAGAAAUUGGAGCGAGAGAGGAAACGGAGAGGAAGGGAGGAGAGAUUAUGGUGUUGAAGAGCAGGAUCAACCACUCUCACCGUGUAGUUGUUGUAGUUGAUUGACUUCACAUGAUAUUGUGCAGAGUACAGAUACAACACCGUAACAUUAUUCUCACAACCAAGCUCAUACCUUUUGUCACCACACUCUUCUGGGUCGCCUUUUAAUCGAAAUGGAUAGCUGAUGUUGGUGAUAUUUCCACAGGAAGAAGGAGGACAAACGUGUUCUUGGUCAUCCUUGGUAGCAGAAAUAUGGUGGAGUAGAAGUAGCAGUACCACCAACACUGCGCUCUCUCUCCACAUCAUGACUAAACUGUUUCUCACUGAAUUCAAGUGCAAACAAAUCCAAGUUAGAUAUCUAAAACAACGCACACUGAAUAUAUAGCUAUAAAGGACCACAUUUUUCCUUUUAGAAAAGUGUUUGGAGACGUGUGAUACUUAAAACGUAGACUUUGACUCAGAAACCGUGUUUCUAUCUGGUUUCAUAUAUAAGUGCAUGAAUUCUGAUUUAUGUAUUAAUGGUGUUCUUUGAGUUUCUAAAACCAUCCUAAAUUGUUCCUUUUGGAAGCUUAUAUUUCGAAAUAUAAUUUUAAUGACUAUAGAAUUUCUGAGUCCCAAAUAAUGCUUGUUUGGUUAAGAAACUUUAACAUGUGAUUGGUACAUAUUGUUUUGGUGACUUUUUGCCCCAAAGAGGGCCUCAUCUGUUUCCUUGUGCUACAUGAACAUAUUCUUCUUGGACAUGGGAGCAGAAAAGAGUUACGGUGGGCACGAAGUCUGGUAGCAGAAAAAACCACUAACAAUGCCUGACGUUUUCUGUAUGCGUAAAAGGUGAAGGACAGAAAAAUAUGUGGAAGCAAUUCCACACACGUAACCCAAAAUUCCACCAUACUUUUCAACUCGUGCCUUGAAAAGCUCAAUAAUUAAAAGUGCGCUUCGAAGAAUCAACGAAGUCACUCACCAUUAACUAGUUGGUAUUAGUAGAUCAUACUAUGUAAACUCACCAAAGUACUUGAUCACUCAUCAUCAAGGUUCAUUGAUAAAGGUGUAUCCAAGCCAUCAGAACGUGUAUAUAAACUUUACAAGUCUAAAUAAAACAUGUCCAAAAAGAAUCAUUGACAACCGAAUAAAUGGUGUAUUGGGGUACUAUAUGUUCAGAAAGAAUAAAUAAAUGUGAAUCACCUUUAAACAAAUCAAAAAAGAAAAAAUACUUAAUCUCCCCCUAACUGUAACCUCCUACCGACAGUUUUGCAAAACACUUGCAAAUGCCCAAAAAACAACUAAGGAAAACUAACCAACAAUCUAACACAUCAUUUAACUAGCCUCAUACAAACCAAAGAAUUAAGACACUAGUCAAAAUAAGAAAAAACACUCGAUGUUGUCUUGAAAGUAAUCAAAGACCAAACCUUUAACUGAACAAGAGUGAACAAUUCUAACACAUCAACCACAUCACCUUUAAAAAUGACAUUAUUCAUGUGUUUCCAAAUCUCACUUACUACACCAAUCCAAAAUUGCCCCCAAACUUCAUUCACAGAUUCAGAUGCACUACUCAUCAAAAAUUGCAAAAAAUGACAGAAUCAACCAUUGUGUACCACGAACGCUACGCCAAGCCAAGCAAAACACUGAUUCCAAACGAGCCAAGCUAUUCUACACUCAAAAAAUAGAUGAUGACAAGACUCCUCUUCCACCCAGCACAGACUACACAAAAGACUUUCGACCACAACCCCACGCCUUUCCAAAUUGACCCUAGUAGCAAUCUUAUUUAACAACACCCCCAAGAAGUGACAUGUGCUAACGGUAAAGCUUGCAUGGGUUUUAUCCAUUUGGCCUUUAGAACAAACAAAUCUCUUCUAUUUGAACAUCAUUUAUUCCUACACAGGAGUGGCAACAUAUCAAGAGGAUUUAGAAGUGAGUUCCGAUAAUGGAAAAUUAUUCCUAGCUUAUCUAAAGCGUCACCAGUCAUGGCCAAUCAAUUUUCUGUGAGUCUUCCUAUUUUUCCACUUAUUAUUGAUGUGCUAUAUUCUUUUCUAAUUAUAUGGCUUAAAUGUGUGGAUUUAUUUCCUUGACUGUCACUGAUGUGCUCAGCAUGUACUUUUUUUUAAAUGAAUUAUUUUAAAUUAUAUUGCGCACCCUUAAUAGAGUAAGGAUAAUAGGUGGAAUGUAUAUUAAAAUAUAAAUACAAGAUUUUUGCAGUGGAAUGGUUUGUGGCUGAGUUGGUUAGUGAAAUUGUUAGACGAUUAUAUUGAGGGUUGGAGUCAAACAUUCCAUCGAACCACUCUUUAUUGUCUUCAAUUAGCUUUCCAAUAAUUCCAUCUUCCUCACAAGACAAAAGAAUAAACUUCUCCGUGAGGUAUCUUAACCUAACAAAACUGAAACCACCCAAAAUAAAACUCUCUUUAACUGACUGCAAAUUGGAAACCUCAGUAAGUCUUCCGACAAAGCAUUUUUCUAACCAAGAAGAAGACUCAACCUUGACGCUAAACUAAGUAGCAUCCAAAUCCAAGUGAGAACUGCUCAUAUUCUUUCUCAUAACCACCUGCGCAAAUGAUUGUUGUUGUUGCUACUGCACCUUCAGUCUCGAGAUUGAUCAGCUCUCCUCUUAGAAUUCCACUCUUUCCUUGAAGCUUUGUUCCUUCAAUAUUUAGGUAAGCUCACCUAAAGAUUCCACGUACCAAUCCAAAUGGAGUUCAACUUCCUUUCCAUAGAUAAAGCAUUUGUCACUCCUUGAAAUCUAACAAAAUCAAACCGACGAUUUAUUGAAUUGAGCUUUCUUGAGAUGAACACGUCCGAGACUCUUCCACAUCUCUAAAAAUAUUUCCAAAGCUCCUUCCGAAGAAGUCGUUUGGGAAGCUUGUGAAGAAAAACGACGUGUCUGUAAUAGAAGCAGCUCACUCUUUGUAGCUCACCCUCUCUCUAGAUCACUAUCUCUCUACCUACUAGUCGUUCGUACCUCUACACCUAUUCAAGUUACAACUAAAUUAGAAGUAUCUGAAGAUCAAGACAUGUUAUGGUAGAAAUAUUUAAUUUUUGCUACCUCUUAUUCGACUAAGGCACAAAGGCCAGGAAACAAGGAUUGAGACCAACCUCACAGAAUCUGAGACCAAUAUGAUAUCUUGGGUCCUCAUUCAAAAUGCUAACCUAUUUGCAUGGACAUUCGAAUACAUGUUCUGGGUAGACCUGAGGUGAUCUUGCACAAGUUAUUUUCGUACAAGGAAGCUCGUCAAAGGUUGAAAAAGAAGAGAAAAUUAAAGGAUGAGAAGCGAAAAGGAUUCAAAAAGGAGGUUGAGAAGCUUAUCAAUGCUAGCUUUAUCUAAGAAGACAUGGUUAACAAACAUAGUUAUGGUAAAAAAACUAAUGAAAAAUGGAGAAUGUGCAUAGACUACAUAGACCUCAAGAGACCUCAAGGCAUAUCCUAAAGAUGUUUAUCCUUACCAAUUAGUUAAUGGCGCAUAAGAACAUAAGGUCCUCAACUUCCUAAACGCCUACUCAGGAUUAACCAAAUAUGCAUGCAUUCAAGAGAUAGGAAGAAGACAAUUUCUAUGACCAACAACACCAACUAUUUUUCUCCAAGUUUAAUUCAACUUUCUAUGAGCAAACAACAUCAAUUUCUCUGGAAGCUUAUGCACUAGAAAUGGAUGCUUUUGCAACUCCAACAUCUAAUGCAAUUUGUAACUCACAACUAUAAAAAUAAAGACUUAUUCCUAAACAUGUUUAUGAUAAUAGUCGCAAAGACAUUUACAACGCUAGUUAAUCAAUAUAUAUCAUUAAGCUUUAUUGGAUUAUGUUUGUUGUAAAUGUUGACUUCUUGAUAAGUGUCUAAUUUCAGUAAUAUUUUAUAUUAAAAUAUAGACACUUAUGAGGAUUUAUUUCUAAUUUACAUAUAAAAUAAUUCCUAAUUUAUGAAUUUAUAUCUUUUUACAUUUUUUAUGAUCUUUAUUUGAAUAAGAGCAUUUUAUUCCUAAAUUUGGUAUUAAUAACAGGUUUCUAGGGAGGAUUGAAAAUUUGGAGUAAAGGGGGAUGAUUUAAGUUAAAAAGAGAAAGCUGGAAGGUCCCAAAAUGGAGAAAAGUGUUGAAAAAGCCAAUUUUGCAAAAGGAGUAUCUCGCUCCAGGACUGUUUUCGGAAAUCAACGCUUUUCUCGCUCAAGCGAUAAUGCGUCACAUAGAUUGGGCCUUUUUUAUGUUUUAUCACUUAGCACAUCAGCGCGACACAAGAAGCAACUUAACCCUAGCAAAUUAGGUUAAAUAGGGGGAUAGAGGUUGAACCCUAGUGAAUAUUGAGAGAAAAACACCAUUGAGUGAAUUGUAACCAAUUGGGAGAAUGGAAGGUGCUAGAAGUAUGUGUGGCUAAUUCUACUCUUUGGGAUUGGGAGUAAUCUGCUCGAACUCUUAUGUGUUGAGGUGAUAUUUAAUAUGAUAUAAUAUUUUGUUCUUGAUUGAUUAUUGGUAUUUUUGUUUUACUUCUAAAUUCCCGUGACAAAUUGAGAAUCUUAAAUCUGACCGAGAGGUAUUUUUAGGAUUCUGACCUAAACAACAAUACUUAACAUAUUUGAGUUCUAUAGAUAGACUUAAAAUGUUAAUUGCCUUUAACGUCUAAGUAUGAUUUCUAAGUUGUUUUCAUAAGUAUGCGAGAGAUCGAUAUUUAGAAAUAUAUUCGAGAGAUCGAUUUAGAUUAAUUUUCUAUGGGCAACAAUUUCUAUCAAAGAACUUAAUAUUGACAUUCUAAUCAAAAUACAUGAGAGUGAGAGAGAUGAAACCUAAUCCCUAUUUUUCCAACUUGAAGCAACCAAUUCUUUAACUAUUUUCUCGUUGAUCACUGGCAACACAACCAAUUUCAACACUCUUUUUAUUGUUCUGUUUGAUAUUUAACGAUUAUUGUACUUGAUAAUUCACUGUUCUUUAUGGGAUCGAUAUCCGUCCUUAGGAACAAUUAUUACUUUUGACAAACGCGAUGCACUUGCCGUAUAAAGUCAUCACUUGUCCUUUUUGUUUCUCAUUAAACUAAGGACAUCCCCUAAUUUUAUUUUUUUUUAUUAUUAUUACUAUUUAUUUUUAUUAGUAUUAUUGUACCGGUACUGGGCGAGGUUGGGACCCACCUGGCUGCCCGAUGCCCAGUCAACCUGGCCGAGAGACUGAGAGGCCGAGACCUUUUGGAGACUCUGCCGAGAGACCGGGAGGCCGAGACCUUUGGAGACUUGGCCGGGAGACCAAGAGGCCAAGACCUUUGGAGGUUUGGCCGAGAGACCGAGACCUUCGAAGACUUAACUGAGACGGCCGAAGACCACAGGUAUGUGGCCGAUGGCCGACCCUCAUGAUGAGAAUUUGGCCGAUGGCCGAACCCCAUUACAAUUAAUGCUCAAACCGAGAUCAAUGAAGCUAAUCCAUCAUCAAGAAUUAGCUAAUGCAACCCUAAGCGAUAUCCACCUCAAUAAACGGGCCCAACAAGGUAGGCCCACUAGAAUAAUAUAAAUAGCACGCAUUCCAAGGAGUAAGGUAUGUCAUUUAUUACUGUUCACCUACCUGAGAGCUGACCACCUGCUUUACUGACUUGAGCGUCGGAGUGCCUUCGUAGGUACCCCACCAUCCGGUGUUCACCCGACGACCGAGUGCCGAGUGUCGAAGGAUAAGCAGGAGGACGAGAAGAAUCCCAGUUCAUCACCCAGUCACCUGCCCGACCGAAGGAAGGAGAAGAAGACUUCAACAGUUCUCUAGGUCCCAUCUCCCUAACAGGAACAAUUAUUAUUAUUCUUAUAUGACACCACAAAUUCUUACUCAAUACCUGCUGCUCAAAAUCUUGAAUUCAUUAUACGAGCACCAAGUGUUAUUUAUUCAAACUUUAUUAGUGUAGGUUUAAAGAGUUAUUUAGACAAUCUUGAAAUGACUUCUUUUCAAUGUGGCGAUAAAAGUGACUCAAAAAGGGAUCAUAACCUGACAAUCAACAUGGUGGAAGAAAACCUUCAAUUAAAAUGUAAAUUCUAGAAGAAUUACCAAUUUGUUAGGGAUGCAGUCUCAGUCAAACAAUAUUUAAUGGUAUGGUAUUUUAUGAAUGAAUAAUCUUUAAUAUUUUAUUAAUUUAUUUUAAUAAAGUCAAUAAUAUAUAUUACCAUAAACUUUAAUAUUUUAAUUAUAUUCAAGUGUUACUAAUAAAUAUUAUGAGUUCAAUGGAAGAAAAGUUCCUUCAAUUCAACUAAUUGGAGUGCAAUUAUGUAUACUUUUCUAUUCAUAAUUUUUUAGUUCUUGGAUUAAACUUGUAGAUACAUGACUAAUCUCUUAGUUUUUAUUUUGUUCAUAAAUAUUUGAAUCCUAUUCCACUUUAUUUAUACUUAUAACUAACAAUUUUAUCAACAAUAAAAAAAAUUAAAUUAAAUUUGAAUUCUCUAUUCCACUUUAUUUAUACUUUUAACUGACAAUUUUAUCAACAAUAAAAAAAAUUAAACUAAAUGAAUUAGUUGAAGGUGAUAUACAAAACUUUACUUUGUACCAAAAGCCUACUAAAAAAAAUGCAUAUGGCUCACAUAAGAAACAAAAAAGAACCUUAGGACAACCCAAUUGGAGCUUUGCCUGUAUGCUACAUAUUCAACAUACCACAGUGGUAAGAAACAGUAGAAAAAAAAAAAGAGUAUCAGGUCUUAGCCCUACAAAACUAGAAGGUCUUUUUCUCCCUAUAUCUUUUGGAAUAUUUUAAAUAUGCAUUAAUCAAUAACAAAAUCAUUUAGCAUUUGAGAUUAUGGAUCAUAAAUUCUAUUUGAUAGUUGUGCUAGAUGUCCUUAGCUAUAGGUCCAUACCAGCCCCUUUGACUCAGCCUAUUAGACAAACAUUUGCAAAUUCUAAACUUAAUUGCUGAAAAACAGCAUUUCAAUAAAUUAAUAUUUUAUUCAUUUUCAUUUUAUUUUUAUUUUUAUUUUUUAGUUUAAAAAUAUAUAUUAAUAUAAAUGUUUAUCAAAUAUAUUUUUUUACUAUGUUAAAGAAACUUUUUCCUUUGAAAUAUAAAAAUAGUAUUAAGUUGAUAUUAAUAUCUUACCAAUAUUUAAGAUACAAUGAGUUCAUUUUUUCAGAUAAAAGAAGCAUAAACUUUAUGCACAUUCAAUGCUAACAAAUUACACUCUUACUUCUGUCAAUGAGACCAUCACUUUAUUCAGCCAUCACACACUUCCAUUUCAUGUUUGUAUUUCAAAGUUAAACAUAUUAUCCUAAACCCUAAACUCCUAUAGUCACAAACUAAUGAGUUCACGAAGAAACUUCAAUUCUCUCUUCACACAAGCAUGUUCUUAAUCCCAUAUUUUAUAGGCCUUAUCACAACUUAAUUAGUGGCCUCGUAUUUGUUGAAACUGUAACAAAAACAAAAUCGUCAACUUUUUAUUUCCGUCAAACGUUAGAAAUUAUGCUUCAAGUACUGAUUCAAAUAAGCGAAUUUGUGAUUUUUCUUCAAUUUCUUGACUUCACGUGAUUAAUUAAAUAAACUAGUAGAAUCCAAAAUUCACUUUUCAACAAAAAAAAAUAUUUGCGUCUGUUUAAGAGAUGUCACUCUUUUACUUUUAAUAAAAAAAAAUUAAAAUUUCUUAGAGUCCACUAAGCUAAUGUACAUUUUUUAUUUAUAAAUAUAGAUUUUACAUAAGAUUUCAAAUUGUUUUACAAGCUUUAAUUUAUUAAAAUAUAUAAAUCAUUGGAAUCAAAUUAAACUUGACUAAAUCUAUAAUAAUAAUUUAGGUCGAUCUAAAUUUUGAAAACUAAAUUCAUGUUUACAAUCUUAAUAUUAUAAAACUAUAAAUCAUGAUGCCUUAAAAGCAUUCAUUUUGUAUUUAAUCAAUUGUUUUAACCAAUAUUAAUCAAAUAAACUAUCAACUAUUAAUGAAAUAUUUAGAAACAGAUAAAUAAUAGUUUUCUAAACAUAUUUAUAUAAAUCAAAUUAACAUAACAUAUGUUUAAAAUAUAAAUUGUUUGAAUGUACAUGACAAUGUUUGUAAUUAUUAUAUAUAUUUUGACAAAUAUGUUGAAAUGUGACAACUCAUAUAUUUAUUUUCUUUAAACUAAAAAUUAAUAACAAAUAUAUUAAAAAUUACAAUAUAAAAAAUUUAAGUUAAAUCCAUUUACUACAAGAUGAUAUUGUUGUGGAACUAAAGGAUAUAAAGACUUUGCAUAGAUACCUGCAUGGAAAGGAAACCACUAGUUUCUGGGCAAAUGAAAAUAAAUGUAGAUGGAAGCUCGGAUUAACUAAUUAUUGUGACAGGGGAAUAGGGAUCAAAAUUCUACGUAGGUCGUUGGAUUUUCUUCUUGUAAUACAUCGAAGCAAAAAUUUUGGUCAUUUUGCAUGCAAUUCAUGUAACUAUUUUAGAAUAUAACAUGUCCUUGUUUAGUAUAGUUCACUACAAAAUAAUAUAAACAAGUGAAACAUCAUUGAUAACCAAGAGUUUAAAAUAAGAAGAUGGAUGCAAAUAAGUACUCUUGUGUAUCGUGGAAUAGCAUAUACUUUACCAGUAAAUAGUUUUAACAUUGAAUAUAUCUAGUUAGAGUUGAUUGUUUGAUCAUCUAUCAUUGUUUCAUCUUCUGGAAAUAAAAUAGGUUUUGGAGGUAUUUCUAAGUCUUCAAUAUCCCCUUCAAGCAUUUUCACUACUCUAUUCAUUGAGGGUCGAUCAUUUGAUUUUAGUUGUAUACACCAUAGUGCAACUAUGAUCAUCUUCUUUGCUAUUUUAUUUUCCUCUUCUGUCACAUCUUUGAUGUCUACAUCUUCCCAUUUCCUAAUAUGAUCAUAAAUCCAAAGGGGAAAGUAAAGUUGACUUGAGUGGUCUACAUGGGGAUUUAGAUUCUUCCUCUUGCUCGCCAUCUCCAUCAAAAGCAUUCCAAAGCUAUAAACAUCAGCUUUAUGGGAUAUUCCUCCAAUAUUUUUGUAAAAUAGUUCUGGAGCCAUAUAUCCAAUGGUUCCUCUUGCUGCAGUCAUUGUGACGAUACUAUUAUCUAUUGGAUAUAACUUUGCCAAUCCAAAGUCAAAAACCUUAGGGAUGUAGUUUUCAUCUAGUAAGAUGUUAUGAGGUUUGAUGUCAAAAUGCAAAAUCUGCAUCUCACACCCAUGGUGGAGAUAAGCAAUCCCACGAGCCACUCCAAUUGAUAUAUUAUAUAUCUUUUCAUAACUUAAAUGUAUAUUUCUCUCUUUUGAGAAAAUAAAUUUAUCAAGAGAUCCAUUGGGCAUAAAUUCAUAAACAAGAGCACGCUUUGAGCCACUAACACAAAAUCCAAUUAACCGUACCACAUUUUGAUGAUGUAUUCUUCCAAUGGUCGCAACUUCACUGAUAAAAUCUUGUCCAUUUGUUUUGGAUUUGCCUAACAUUUUGAUAGCCACAAAAGGCCCACUGCACAACUUUGCCUUAAAGACAGAGCCAAAUCCUCCUUCACCUAACUUCUCUUUGAAACCUG